UACGGAGGGUGCAAGCGUUGUUCGGAAUUACUGGGCGUAAAGAGCGUGCAGGCGGUCGAUUAAGUCAGGUGAGAAAGUCCUUGGCUCAACCAAGGAAGUGGAUCUGAAACUGAUCGACUUGAGUACGGGAGAGGAGAGUGGAAUUCCUGGUGUAGAGGUGAAAUUCGUGGAUAUCAGGAGGAACACCGGUGGCGAAUGCGACUCUCUGGACCGAUACUGACUCUGAGACGCGAAAGCGUGGUGAGCAAACAGG
rnacentral:rRNA from 1 species